rnacentral:rRNA from 1 species
UGCAAGUCGACGAUGAAGCCGCUUCGGUGGUGGAUUAGUGGCGAACGGGUGAGUAACACGUGGGCAAUCUGCCCUUCACUCUGGGACAAGCCCUGGAAACGGGGUCUAAUACCGGAUAACACUCUGUCCCGCAUGGGACGGGGUUGAAAGCUCCGGCGGUGAAGGAUGAGCCCGCGGCCUAUCAGCUUGUUGGUGGGGUAAUGGCCUACCAAGGCGACGACGGGUAGCCGGCCUGAGAGGGCGACCGGCCACACUGGGACUGAGACACGGCCCAGACUCCUACGGGAGGCAGCAGUGGGGAAUAUUGCACAAUGGGCGAAAGCCUGAUGCAGCGACGCCGCGUGAGGGAUGACGGCCUUCGGGUUGUAAACCUCUUUCAGCAGGGAAGAAGCGAAAGUGACGGUACCUGCAGAAGAAGCGCCGGCUAACUACGUGCCAGCAGCCGCGGUAAUACGUAGGGCGCAAGCGUUGUCCGGAAUUAUUGGGCGUAAAGAGCUCGUAGGCGGCUUGUCACGUCGGAUGUGAAAGCCCGGGGCUUAACCCCGGGUCUGCAUUCGAUACGGGCUAGCUAGAGUGUGGUAGGGGAGAUCGGAAUUCCUGGUGUAGCGGUGAAAUGCGCAGAUAUCAGGAGGAACACCGGUGGCGAAGGCGGAUCUCUGGGCCAUUACUGACGCUGAGGAGCGAAAGCGUGGGGAGCGAACAGGAUUAGAUACCCUGGUAGUCCACGCCGUAAACGUUGGGAACUAGGUGUUGGCGACA